GUCUGUGGCCAAACCACCCUGAACGCGCCCGAUCUCGUCUGAUCUCGGAAGCUAAACAGGGUUAGGCCUGGUUCGUACUUGGAUGGGAGAAGUCUAUAAAGUAAGGCACCAGGAUGAAACUAUCU
rfam:Mustela putorius furo unplaced genomic scaffold scaffold00093, whole genome shotgun sequence.